CUAGUAUUCACUGCAAUAUAUAUUUCAUAACGGAACUUGAUUUAGAGUUUCAGCAACCUACAAAGCAGUCUUCCAAAAUAAGGAAGGAAAUAAGUUGAUGUGGCAGCCUACACUAGUAAAACUGAGAGAAACCAAACACCACAAUUAUAAUCUCUGCAUUCACUGUAAUAAACAAGAGUUCCUAAAUGAGAUCCGCUCUUAAGUCAGAAAGAGAAAGACAAAUACAAUAUGAUAUCACUUAUAUCUGGAAUCUAAUAUACAGCACAAAUGAACCUUUCCACAGAAAAGAAAAUCAUGGACUUGGAGAAUAGACUUGUGGUUGCCAAGGGGAAGGGGGAGGGAGUGGGAUGGAUUGGGAGCUUGGGGUUAAUAGACGCAAACUAUUGCCUUUGAAAUGGAUUAGCAAUGAGAGCCUGCUGUGUAGCACUGGAAACUAUGUCUAGUCACUUAUGAUGGAGCAUGAUAAUAUGAGAAAAUAGAAUGUGUACAUGUAUGUGUAACUGGGACACCAUGCUGUACAGUAGAAAAAAAAUUGUAUUGGGGAAGUAACAAUUAAAAAAAUAAAAAUUAAAAAAAAUUAAAAAUUAAAAAAAAAAGAAUUUGCACAGAACAGCCAGAGCUUGAAAUCCUGGUAUUCCAGUAGAAAAAUAUCAUAAUUUAAAAAAAAAAUAGUAACUGGCAUAAUAAGCAUAUAUUGCUAUUUGUAAUCCCAGAGCAACAUUUUUCCUUUCCAGUGAAAAUGAAAUGUACCUUGUAUAACAGUAUUUCUAUUCUUCCCCCAAGAUUUUUUUUAAAAAAUAAUGAACAUGGAUUUUCAAACUGUAGCAUUUAAAAAUCAAAGUAAUGGUGACCUAACAGAAUCAAUCAAACCUUAUCUUAAAUAGAAUUGACGUGAAUGCAUUAUUAAAUAUAUGCCAUAUGCCAGGCACUGUACUAGGUGCUGGGAACAGAGAAGCAAAUGCAGUAAAGAGGGUCCUUGCUUUCACUGGACUUAUGUCCUAGUCUAGUAGGAAAGAGGUGUUCACUCCAUAAAUAAUUUCAUAAACUAUUUGAUGAAAACAUUAUACUCUUUACUAGUUCCUGAUUUAUAAAUAGUAAUAAAAAUUCUACUAAAUACAGUAUACUAUUUUUAACAGGUGUAUAGUAGCAUUACAGGAUGCCUUCCGAGUAUCCAUGUAAAAACUAGUUAUUUUAUGAUUUCAGUGUUACCCCAAACUCUAUAAUCCAAUCUUGGCUAUUAAAAAAUGUGCCAUGUUUCUAAAAAUGUAACACAUAUUAUUGGUCACUGGCUCAUGUUCAAACCACUUAACACUGGCAUACAAACACCCUCCACAACCCAUCAGCAGGAGAAAUCCCACUAACCCGUGAGAAGUCUUUCUGCCUGCCAGCUAAAGUUUGUAAUCCUCCACCUUCCCACAAUAACUUAGUCAUACUUCUACUACCAUAUUUAUUGCAUUGUACUAGAGUUAUCUGUCACUUCUAUAACCUGUGAGCUUCUUGGGCACAGGAACUGUCUCAUUCCUGAUGUCUCACCAGAACCAUCCCCAGUACCUGGCACACUGCAAUCACUCAACACAGGUCUGCUGAAUGCAUCAGUGACAGAUGGUGAUCGGAACCUUACAAGGCAGCUGUCACUCAAAGUUGUUCUUCAGGGUUCCACAAAGCAUAAUGAUGGCUUAUACUAGGAAUGGCCUAAAAUUCUUAUCCACCUCAGUUGUCUACCAUAUCUGAAAAUCAUUCCUUUCUUCUAUCUUUGCCUUACUGAGGUGCAUUCUAUUCCAGUUACUGUGGUGAUAACCUUGCCUCCAUCAGUCAGAGAGAGUACAGACUACUGAAAGGAAUCACACAUCUGUCCACUCAAGACAAGAUUCUGAACUCAAAACAAGCAUCUUCAGGGAGACACUCAAGUACCAGGCAGCUGAUGAGCCUUUUUCAUGACUUCUUUGGUUCUCUGAAGAUAGUAAACAUUUAGCAUGUCUCUGACCUUAUAAAGUUGUGUCUUUUCAGACCAUAAAUUUAGAUUCAAUUUAGAGAAAUUGACUUGAAAAUCCUAUAGAAGGAAAAUGGUUAAAUAAAUUCUAAUUCCUCAACUGAUGGACUUUAAUACAAUCAUUGCAAAUACAUUUGGGUAACUAAAUAAGAGAAAAUACUCUUAUACUGUGUUAAUAUAAAAAAAGCAGACUACAACUAUAUAUGAGCCAUGAUCUAAUUUUUUUGAAGUAAGGCUACAUGAAAAUAGUUAACAUAUGUAUAUACUUGAAUAUGUAAAAUAAAAGGAAAAACUAAAUUAUUAUGUCUCUGUAGACAAGUUAAAUGGGUGGGUUUUACUUCUUUAAAAUUCUCUCAGGUUUCAAGUUUUUCUACUAUGAGCAUGCAUUACUUACAGAAAUUCUGGAAAUAAAACAAAGUAAAAAGCAUAUGUUCUUAACAGAUAAUUACAGUGAAUUUUGCAAAAGAACAAUUUCUCCACUAUCUUCCACAAAUACACUUUUCCUAUUUUUUAACUGAAUUGUAUUCAUUAAAAACACAUAUGCCAGAAAUAAAGAUAAGCCAUUACGCUUCUCUCCAUAGCAAAUACAAUGAAUUUUUAAGUAUUUGAAAGAUAUAAUUAUCUAGGAUUUUAAAGAUUAAUGGUUACCUUUAUAAUUGUGGAUUUCUUCUAUUCUUCAUUUUUAAUGCCUAAUAACUAUAAUGUGUUUAAUCUCCUUUGGAGAGGAAGAAGGAAUAUAAAUGAAAUUAACAAAAUACUUUUAAAUAUAAGGUAAUGCUGCAUUUUAUUAUGACUGAACUAUAGUUCUUAUGUCAAGAGUUUCAAGACUAAAAGAAAAGUGAUCUGAAAACAUUUUAACAAUAUUUUUAUUCAUAUCACUCUUUAUUACCACUCCCAUAAAAGAAAAUUCUAGUCUCUUUUAAAUUUAUUCCAUUUGUAAAGAGGUUGCUAAAAGUCCACCAGAGAGAUAGGACCCAAAUCAAGAAUUCUGCCAUGCCCUCUGUUGAGACUGUCAGCUUUUCCUUUUGAUUUUUUUUCUGCACUUGAAGAACCUAAGAUUGAUUUUUUCCCAGUUGAACCUAAGUAGAGGAGGAGCAAUAUUUUAUUAAAAGAUUCUUCAUUCUCCUAGAAUAAACCACCUUCUUUAUUUAUACAUAAAGAAAAUCUGUCUUUUUGUUCUUGAGAAAAUGUUUUCAGAAACUAUUGCUUUGGAAAGUUAAUUCAAUUGUAUGUAACACCAAAAAGAUAAAGGGAAAAAAGAAAAGAUGAUGAUGGCAACACUAUUAGCCACUUCAGCAAAGAAUGUGUGUUGAUUAGCUCUCUCAAGAAUAGGGGGCAAAAGUGACACUCCACUGAAAUCUAAAACACAGAUACCUUGGAGACUACUGGUCUUACAUGACUUUUGUUGUGCAUGAGAGGGAGAUCACAACAGAAAAAGAACCUGCAUUAGAGUCACUGAAUAUUUUUCAAUUCAAGAAACGUUCACUGUUGGGCUUAAAUAUGCUAAAGAAAAUGGUAGUCAUGUUACAUAAAAGGCAACAGAAUAAGAAUUCCAAAUGAUCCCUCAAAGGAGAAAAGCGUGGGGCAUGGUUUUCUAUCAAAUGGUGGAACCCAGUCAGCUACAACUCUGAAGGAAAGGCAUAAAUUUAAAACAAAUUUUAAAGUAGCAAACUAAGGGAAGGAUGAAAAAUAAAUAAAAGUCAAAAAACUAACAUGAUUAUUUGCUCCUAUGUAGCCUGAGAUUCCAUAGCAACACAUAAAGAGGCAAAUUAGAGAGAAAAUGUGAGAAAGCAAAUGCUUUCCAUUUUGGUCUCAUGGAAAGCUUAAGUGACUUCUUUUAAUACAUCUUUUUUUUUUUUUUUUGAGCAGUUUUAGGCUCAGCAAAACAGAGCAGAAGGAACAGAGAUUUCCCAUAUACAUGUACAACCUCCAUGUUAACAAUAUCCCCAACCAGAGUGAUAUCUUUAUUAAAACUGAUAAACUUACAUUGACAAAUCAUAAUCACUUACAGGCCAUAGUUCACAUUAGGAUUCAGUCUUGGUGUUGUAUAUUCUGUAGGUUUGGACAAAUGCAUAAGAAUAUGUAUUCAUCAUCAUGGUAUCAUACAAAGUAGUUUCACUAACCUAAAAGUUUCUUUACCUACUCACUCCUCCCUUCCUGCUAAACACUGGCAAUGACUAAUCUUUUAAAUUCUGCCUUUUCCAUAAUGUCAUACAGUUGGAAUCAGAAAAUAGAGCUUUUCAGUUUGUCUUCUUUUAUUUAGUGGUAUGCAUUUAAGUUUCCUCUUUAAGUUUUUAAGGAAAUAUCACAAAUAUUUUCUGAAUACAAACUCUGAUCUUUAAAAUUAAUCUUGCCUCUUUCUUCCAAGAGCAGUAAACUUCUAAAAAUAAACACUGAAAGCUCUCAGAACAAAUUUAGAGCUAUUUAGGGAAAACAUUACCAAAUCUGAGUGAAGAUUAUUUAUGGUUAAAAUUAUAUUAGAAACAUAUUUAGAAACAAUGACCAGACUGUUUAGCUUUUCAAUUAUGAUCCCUAAUCCCAUAUGGAAUCCUGAAAUUAUCAAACUUAUUAAAGCAAAUGCAUUAAUUCUCUUCUUUCAUGAUUCAUUAAUUCAAUCAUUUCUUAUUUUAAAAAUGAGGUUAAUAAAAAUCUCAAAAUAUUCCUAAGGAUAUUCUACAUCAGAAUUUUUAAAUUCUUAGAAGAUAAUCUCUCUAGCACUCAUAGAACUUACUAUUUAUGAGUCUGUUUCAACUAUGUGUGAAGAUGCCCGUCCACCCAUCUUGACUACAACCUCUAAGCAUGUAAGAAUCAAGUAAGACAAUAUUUCUCUUCCACAUAUACAGAUCCAUACAUAUUUACUUUGGCUAUGAGUUGUGGGGGGAUAAGACUUGCCCACAGCUGAGAGGGCAACAGUGCUCUCAAGAAAUACAGGAAAUAUUUCCUCAGUGCCCCAGGAAACACAGAAGGUAGGGCUAUCAUCCUAGUAGGCUCAGAGGACAGAGCAUUAUCGAUAUAAGGAGAAUUAAUUUUGAAACUUAAAAUCUACCAGAAUUUGCCCUGUCAGGUUUUGAAUUUGCUUCGAAUACAUAAUUCCUUUUUUUAUCCCAACCUUCU
rnacentral:lncRNA from 1 species